UUCUGUCAAGAAUAUAAACAUUGCUUUUAUUAUACCAAAGACAGAUAUUUAUGAUGAACUUUUACAGUAUGACCAGCUAGCUUAGAGGAAAACCCUGGAAUUUGGGCAAGAAUGCAGAAACUCUGUGAAGAUUAUUAUUAAAUCUGUGGACACCUUCUUAAGUGCAGUGGAUGCUAUUGGGAAACCUCACCACUGCGGUUCAACUGCACAGAUUGGUGUUGGAAACUGAAUGAUGGGACUGAGCUUUGCUGAUUUUUUCUUGUAUGAGUGCUGCCAUGCAGAAAUAGUGUUUCCACACAAACAGUCAUGUGGUGUCUUUUUAAAACUCAACUUUCCUGCAGCUCCUGAUGAAGAUGUUAUUUUAAUCUUGUACAGGGCUGAAGUCCUCACUUCCCUGCCCCUUCUUCCCUUUUUUUCUGAGGCAUGUUAUAAUUGGAAGAGGAGAAAGUGAUUCGAUUAAUAAAAAGACUUGUUGAAUCUGGAUGGUAGAGAGGUCAGUGAGAUACAGGACCAAGCCCAAAAAGAGCUUGAUUUCAGGAUCCCAGCAUGGAAAUGAGUCCCAGUCCAAAGGCUCUGGCCCUCUGGCCCAGAGGGUGAUGACAUGGAGCAGCUGACCAGAGAGGGGGACACAGCCCUGAGCUGCUGGAGUUCAGGGAGAUCACUCUCAGAUAGUGGGUUUGGGUAACCCUGUGUGGUGCCAGGGGUUGGACUCCAUGACCACUGUGGGUCCCUUCCAACUUGGGAUAUGCUGUGAUUCUGUGAUUUUUUAUAGGAACUGCUCUGCCCAGACAGUGCCUUAGUACAUGAUGGUCACCAAAGAAGCAAAUCCUUUUCGCCAUUGCUCUUUGAAAGGUUCCAUGGCAGAGCAGGGGUAGGGUCUGGCUGGCUGAGGCUCCCUGCAGUCUGGGCUGGAUGGGUCAGGAGGUGCUCCUGGCGCCUCGGGAAGCAGUGACACUGAAAGCUUCCACUGCCAGAUGGACUCAGGAUGCUGCUGGUAAAAGGAAUGAUGAGAUCUGGGUCUGAAAGGAUAAGGAGAAAACACUGCCGGGCCCCAGAGGCAGCUCUAGAAGCAGACAAGCAGGGUUUGGGCUCUGCUCCAUCUCCUCCCAUUCCUCCUUCCAACGCCAGUCCCUAUGAGCCAAAGCUAAGGUUAAUUAGCAAAGCAAAUGUGGGCACGUUUCCAUUCUCAGUGCUUGGGCUGCUUUACAUACACCCAUGGGUAUUUCUCAUCCAGAUCUGCAUCUCUCAGUAGCCCUCUUCUCUCCCUGUGGUUUGGAGCAGGCCCUCACCAAAAGCAUUAUGCAAUGCGUGUCGCUGGGCAACAUGUGUUCCACAAUUGCAACAGUCAUGAAUAAGGUAUGAGAAAUUGGACAUGAUAUUGCAUUUCCUGUUCAUGCAUCUGUUGGAUAAGCUGUUUGGAGCCCGCCGCGUCAGCCGGGGAUUGUUUCUUUCCUACAUCAUGGCAGUGUCUGCUGUGUUGGACUAUGUUACGUCUGGUGAUGGAAUGAGGCAAAUAAAAAAGGGGCACAUUGAAGGCAGAAGCAUUUAAGUCUGGGCACUUCUGUGAGCAUAUGUGUGACACAUUCAUAGGCUGGUUUGUCGGAGACAGGGAUGCAAAACCCGUGCCCCCAGCCAUGUUGAGCAAAUCAAAGGGUGGAAGAGAGAAGGAAUUCCACAGUGCGUGCAAAUCUUGCCCAAAUGUUGCUGUUGUGUUGUUUCCCUUCCUGGCAGUGGGGAUAUCUGCCAUACAGACCCGAUCAGCACAGGGUCACAUACCCAGUGAGCCCCUUGGCUCCCAGCAUGGGCUGUGCGUUGAGUUUGGUGAGGGCAUCCUCCAUGCAACAUGAGCAAACUCAUCAUGGGUCGGGAGGGCUGAGGGCUUCUCACCCUGAUACAGAAUGGGCACAGGUGGGUCUUGGGCCAAGGAAUGAGCAGGGAUGCAAAAAGGCACUCCUUCCUGGAUGGAGGGAUGGUGUUGAACUGCCUCCCAGUGAUGCAGCAGAGGUAUUGUGAUAAACUGAUGGUAUCUGCAGCUCGAGUGGAUAUGGGUUUCUGGAGAAAGUCCGGUGAUUUUCUGCUCCAUUUGACAUCUCCCACACAGACUACAUCCCUUCUUCCAAAGAGAAGCGAUAUUUUCCUUCUCUUCCCUUUUUCUUUUUCUUUUUUUCCAAGGGAGACUCAGGAGAUGGGAUAGGAAAUAAUAGAAAGAAACAAAAAAAAUCAAUAAAAAUUAUUUUUGUCUUGAAUAAAGAGGAAAUUCUGAGGGAAAAGAAAAAAAAAAAGGUUAUUUAAUGUGAAAACUGCAUGGGAAAAGAAACAGAACAACCCAUUUCAUUUCAUCAGAGACAUUUUGCAGAACCACCUGUGACUCCCAGCAUCCUGGCUCCUGUGCCACCUGCUCAGAACAUGGGUGUGCAGGCACAGCGGGGUUCAGUCCUCAUCUCCAUCCCCAACAUCACCCUUUGUGGACAGCUUUCCUGGAAAGAAGUCUUAACCUUAUAUGAAUACUGGGCUUGGAUUAAUAUUUCAAUGUAAGUGGUAUCCUGACCACUCUACUGGAAGCAUCAAUAAGCUGCAUCUCUUGCCCAUGGGUCAGCAAUCCCUGCUCUUCAGGCACAUCCCAAGCACGUUUCCUUGCAGCCCCUUCUUUCUAUUGCACAAAAGCCAUCCUCUCAAGGGCCCUUUCCAGAGUGGUGCAUUCAUUAUGGCUUGCACUAAAAUUAGUGCAUCUUAAUAUGGGCUUUUUCAUAAUCAUAUAAGAACGACGUACCCACAUUAACACAAUGAAAGCUCCUUGAAGCCAUUUACCAUGCACAGGUACACCAGGAUUAGGCCAGUCAUAAUAAACAGCGAUUAGGCAUGAAACUGAACCAAGGGAAUUGUUUUAAGACAAUGAUUUAUACAUGAAGUAGUACCCAAAAAUAUCUCCCAAGCACAUUACCUGAAUGAUAAACGAAAACAGAGCCUCAAGUAAUAAUAACAAUGUAAAACAAUUUGUGAAGCCUUUUCUAAGCAGCACCCUGGUUAGAUUCCAAAGAAAAUACAUGCAAAAAAUAUUCAAAAUCCCAUGCGGUACAUUGACUUUGGCCAGCUCCCAGCUCCUGGGUAUAAAGCUUUCUCCCAGUGUUUUGCAAGUAAAACAAGGUCUUUGAAUGGGGGCCUGAACCUGCAGGCUGCUGAGCACUUCCUCACUGAUCCCAGUGUCUGUGGGACAUGGCUUAGUGGUGGGGAGGGGCUGACAGUUGGACCUGAUGACCUCAGUGGUCUUUUCCAACCUUAAUGAUCCUAUGAUUCUUUAUCUAUGGUGAGCAGGACAGACUAAUGCUGAGCUCUCACACAGGCCAACUAAUGCUGAGCUCUUACACAGGCCAACAAAUAUUUAUCCAAUAAUGAAACCAACAAAGCAAACGCGCACAAAAAUGCAACUUUCAGCAUCCAGCCCUGCGUUGUGCAAUGCCUUUAUGUUGCUUUAUUGUUUUCUUAACAGAAAGUAGCAGACCUUCAGACACUUCAGCCCCUGCUGGAAACUGCUCUCCCCAGGGUUGGUGGGAGCUGCUGGAAGCACUCCUUUGCCUCUGAGCACAGAGCAGGAUUGGGCUCUGAGCCCUUAAUCCCCGCGGUGAGGAGUGGAGCGCUGCACACAAGAUAUAGCAACAAAACAGAUUUAGUUCAAGGUUAGUCUCAAGAACCCUUAUCUGAUCACUGACAGUAAUUUAUCACGCAGAACCCAUCAUUAGUGUCAAGCUGUUUUAUUACCCACUAACUUAACACUGUUUUACCAAGAGUCAAGUGUGAUGUCACUCAUGUUAAAGUAAUUUACAGCUAAUAGAUAUGAGGUAGGAGUCGAUGCUGAGUUCCUUUCAUACUCGGAGUGAGCUACUUUCAUUUUGCCCAGUAAGCAAAUGAGAGCAGAAGGGUAAUAACAACAGGGAACCAUCCACAUGCCUUUGUGCCCAUGCACAAACAGGGGAUCUUGAGAGCUCCCCCAGCAUCUUCAUACACAAGAGCUCACCUGCAGACACGAGUUCUGAUAUCACAGAGCUUAAAGGGCCAGGAAGAUUUAAGACACGGUAGCAAAUUUAGUUUUGCAGGACUGGAAAUGUGUGAUGCUUUGGUCACGUGGAGGUUUGGCACAUGAGCAGAAGGGAAUCCCUGAUGGGAGUCCCACCGUGUGCCACAAAACCUGACAUAGAAUCACAGAGUCAUGGAAUCACAGAACCACAAAGGCUGGAAAAGACCUCUAAGAUCCCCAAAUCCAACCCCACCCCACCAUGCCCUCUGACUGCAUCCCUCAGUGCCACACCUCCCCUCUUCUUGAAAAAUUCUGAUGUUCUGAAUUCUGAUGGGAAAGGGGACAUUUGGGAUGACCUGUUGCUCCCCUUUCAGCAGGGUCAGCCUUCAGGGUGUGAGUUGCCUCCAUCUGAACAUGGAGAGGAGUUACAUCCACCUCAAUAACAACGUUGGUUACAAGAAGUGGUGAUGGUACGAACAUUGUUUUCCUUCUCUGCUUUCCAGCCAAUGCUGCUCAGUCCUGAGGUCAGCCCCAGUGCAGGCUGUGUUUAUAAGAGAGUGCAUUUCCCAUUUCCAAGCACUUGCCAUCUCCUCUAAUGAAUCCUCCUCUGACGUCUCCAGGAUCCAUAUUCUUAGCCUGUGGGACUUUCAGAGAUAAUCCUGACUAAUGUGUAUAUAUUCAGAGAGGUUUAUUGUGGAGAACUGUACGGUUGGGAUAAGGGAAAGGGCAUCCUAUAUCAGUUCACCUCUCCAAUUUUAUAUUCAUUAAAGAGCAUUUUAAAUCACUGCAUCUGCUAUCAUUUCCCCUGGAAGUUCCCAAACUCUUGGUUAUUUGCAUGAAGACUUCAAAUGGUCCAGGAGCUGUGACCCUGAAGACAUUGUAAAAAAAAAAACAGCCAGAGGAGGUCUCUUAGGAUUAAAUUUUAACUGUUGUUGGGGUCUCAGGUAAAUAUCUUGCUCUGAAAACACACCUGGACUGUAAAUCAUUGCAGCAUCACUUUUGUCAGCCCUGUCAAUAACUGUCCUGGCCUGCAAAUUCUGUUUGAUCAAACAGCCCUUGGAAACACACACGUUCAGGGGUGACCUCAGCUUCAACCCAUGGUGCCCAUUGUAUGCAGAUCAGCUACAGCCCUGGAGGGAGGACCCAAAUUUGGCUGUGGAAAGGGCCCGGUUGACCAGUUGUGGGGCUGGAGGUUUGGAAACACUGGGCAAUGGCUAAACUCUGUCUAGAAUUGGCCUGCGUGCAGGCAGAUGAGAUAUACACAUCAUUUUCUUCCCGUCUAUGGGGAACCAAAUAAAGACUUGCCAGGACUUCUGCUUCUGCAUAUCUCAGCUUGCUUCAAGUCAUUCCAGUGGCUCCUCAUAACACAUGGCUUUGCUCAGUGUGUUUCUGGGCAGUCUCAGGAGUGAGCAGGAGAUUGCAAGUGGCCCAGUGCCCAGUACUCCCCCGUGCACCACUAUGAACACGGGACCAACAGGGUUUCCACUGUGCGGGGAAAAAGCAGUUGGGCAGCACCAGCUAUGGCCCAGAUUUUGCCUUGACUUUAUAUUUGCAAGUCUAGAGAGGUAGGAAAAACCUCUUUCUUCCUUCUCACCGACUCCAGAGCGCUAAAACACAGAAGCAGUUGUCCAGAUACUGCAAGAGGUGCUUCGCUUCUGCUCUGUCUGUAAUGGCCACCUCUCCCUCCCCACACCACCUUCCCAACUAAUUGGAGCCAUGUUUCCAUGCCAAAGUGGAUGAAAAAUGCUGGCAGCGAGGGCUGAGAGGUUGCUCAGAGGGUGAAAAAUGAGGGUAGGGGAGGUCAGGGAUGCAGCCGGAGAGGCGGAGAGAAGUGGAGAGGGGAUUUGAGGGAGGUGGAGGAGAAGGGUUGCUGGCCAAAACCACGGCAGGUCGGCUGUGGUAGAGAAGUUGUGAAAAGAAAGAACAGCCUGCAAACUGUGGUGAGUGAAGGCAGAAAAAAACACUGGACGUGGGGGUAUUAAAAUCAAGCAUGGCAAAGCAAUGCAGCGAACAUUAAGUUUAGUUCUACUAGAUAGGAAAGGCUGAACCGUUCAUUCGUCACAUCCUUUCAGUGCCUUGUUUAUGAGAAGCCAUUGUGCCAUUUCUUCCUCCAGGAAGAUUAUUUUGAAGCACAUAAAACAGCCGAAGAGAAAGGUGCAAAAACAAAAUUAGCCCCAAAUGCCAACAGUGCUCCAAAUUCAUCCCUGGGGCAUCUUCAUUAACUUCAGUGGAAGAUUUCUGCAGACUUGAAUUCAGAUCUGCAUUCGUAAGUGCACAUCUGUUCUAUGCCAAUGUUUUGAGUCAACAACGGCACACCAAAACUGCAGUGGGAAAAAUAAAUGCUUCUAAUUACAGAUACAACAUUAAGUGGACAAUGAGCAUUAAUAUUGCAGUUGAUUUUGGACUGCAAAGCAAUGUAAAACUCACAAGCAAAAUAAGGGGGAAGCAUGCUUUAGGACCAAGGUGCCUUCUGGUCUUUCAGAAUCCAAUUUCUAUAGAAUUCUGAUUAAGAAAAGACUUUUGCACCUCCUCAGACCGUGGAAGAGGGCAGCAUCUUCAGUACAGCCAGGUUCUCAGUGGCUGGAUUACCCAAAGACUUCAUAAAUUGUCAUUUCUUUUUAAAGUCCAAAAUUCCUCAUCCCCAUCCACUCUGUACACAUAUAUACAAAGGUUAAACACUGGGGAUCUGGAGUCAGAGUGGUCCUAAAAGCCCAAGAGGUUUCUUGCACUGAGAUGUAGGUUCCUCCUGGCCUGAAGCUGUGUGCAGAAGUGGACCCACUGCCCUCCAAACCCUUCCCCAUAUCCCGGUGAGCAAAGAAGCUGUGAGCAAAGGACCAGAGAUGAUCUCCAGAUGCCACAGGAGCCGUGAAGAUGGCAACACCAGCACAGCCCUACUGCUGGGGGACUCUCUGAAGCUGUGUCUGCUCUCUGGCAGCUGUGGAAGAGAUGUCUCCAAAAUGCUUAUGAGAACACCGGUACUCACAUCAGAGUCUGAAGUUUUAGGGGAAAAAGCAGCCAGCAUCACGGGACUUGAGGUGAAAAAGUGAGCUCAUAUCCCAGAGGUGUCCAACUGGGAGAAGACCACUCAUCUAUGGGAACUCUCUAAACAAAUCUCCUAUAGUCUUGGGCACCGGCAUCCUAUUUCCCAACAUUUAGCAGUCGCACAGCAGUCCCAAUUUCCCUGCACAGCACAGGAAGACCCAUUGCACUCUCUCCCAGCCACGCCACACCAACCAGG
ensembl:lncRNA